UUUUUUUAAAAGUUAUGAACAAUCUACUAAAAUCUAGAAAAGUUACUACAAAGAAUCCACAAAUUUGGGUAAACAAAUUUAUUAGAAUCUAAAAUAAUCUUUGAGAAUUUUAAAAUCUAUCAACUUUUGAAAUCUACCAACUCUUUUGGAAUCAUUCUCCCAAUACCCCCCCCUUAGUCUCUUAUGCUGAAUCUCUUCUUCACUUUUAUUUAUUAAGAUGAGAGUAAAAAAAUAAAAUAAAAAUAUUUCUCACACAUCUAAGAUAAAUCCAAGCCUCUUUCACUAACCAUCAUCUCCACCAGUGAUAUUUGGUUAUCUUUAUCUCUAGUUAGGCCUCCAUCUAAUUACCACCGUCAUUGUACCCAAUCUGCCAUACCCAAUUGCCAC
rnacentral:lncRNA from 1 species